rfam:Schistosoma curassoni strain Dakar, Senegal genome assembly, scaffold: SCTD_scaffold0000542
ACUCAAUUGACGAGUCCCAAAUAGAACGAAACACUCAUCCUGAAU